AUCUUUGCGCUUGGGGCAAUGACGCAGUUAAUGAGGCAAUAACCGAGACGUGUCAUUGGUUGAAAACUAUUUCCAAACUUAUCAUCUCUAAAUACUUAAAACAAUAAAAACCUCCCAUUUUUUAUAUAUUUUUUUAUUAGUUUUUUUAAAU